rnacentral:rRNA from 1 species
CGUGUUAAGUGGAAAAGGAUGUGGGAUUUCGAAGACAACUAGGAUGUUGGCUCAGAAGCAGCCACACAUUCAAAGAGUGCGUAAUAGCUCACUAGUCGAGAGGUCCUGCGCCGAAAAUGUCCGGGGCUGAAACACGACACCGAAGCACAGGAUACCGCAAGGUAUGGUAGAGGAGCAUUGCUGGCGCAACGAAGCAGUACCGGAAGGAGCUGUGGAGUGCCAGGAAGAGAGAAUGCCGGAAUGAGUAGCGAGAGAGAGGUGGGAAUCCUCUCGGCCGAAUAUCCAAGGUUUCCAGGGUAAAGCUGAUCUGCCCUGGGUAAGUCGGGGCCUAAGGAGAGGCAGAAAUGCGUAUCCGAUGGACAGCAGGUUGAGAUUCCUGCACUAUCUUAAAACAGAACUGUGGGGACAUUUGUGGAGAGCACAGGCGCGGAACGGAAAGCCGCGUGCAAGCGAAGGAGGAGUCACAUAGGAAAAACCGUGUGGCAAUCCAAAGGCGUGAUGCGGACCGAACUAAAGUAGGGAAGUGUGUGAGCCAUGAAUCAAGAAAAGCCGCUAUUGUUUUUAAGAUACCCGUACCGUAAACCGACACAGGUGGAUGAGGAGAGAAUCCUAAGGCCGGCGGAAGAAGCAUUGUUAAGGAACUCGGCAAAAUGACCCCGUAACUUCGGGAGAAGGGGUGCCAACGAGAGUUGGCCGCAGAGAAUAGGCUCAAGCAACUGUUUAGCAAAAACACAGGUCUAUGCAAAACCGUAAGGUGAGGUAUAUGGGCUGACGCCUGCCCGGUGCUGGAAGGUUAAGAGGAGAGGUUAGCGCAAGCGAAGCUUUGAAUUUAAGCCCCAGUAAACGGCGGCCGUAACUAUAACGGUCCUAAGGUAGCGAAAUUCCUUGUCGGGUAAGUUCCGACCCGCACGAAAGGCGUAAUGAUUUGAGCGCUGUCUCGACAAUGCAUCCGGUGAAAUUGAAGUACCAGUGAAGAUGCUGGUUACCCGCGCCAGGACGGAAAGACCCCAUGGAGCUUUACUCCAGUUUGGUACUGGGGUCCGGCAGUGCAUGUACAGGAUAGGUGGGAGGCUGUGAACCUGGAACGCCAGUUUCAGGGGAGCCAUUGUUGGGAUACCACCCUUGUGCUGCUGGGCUUCUAACCAGCGGCCUUUAUCAGGCCGGGGGACAAUGCCAGACGGGGAGUUUGACUGGGGCGGUCGCCUCCGAAAGGGUAUCGGAGGCGCUCAAAGGUUCCCUCAGAAUGGUCGGAAACCAUUCGAAGAGUGCAAAGGCAGAAGGGAGCUUGACUGCGACACCGACGGGUGGAGCAGGUACGAAAGUAGGACUUAGUGAUCCGGUGGUAUUAAGUGGGAAUGCCAUCGCUCAACGGAUAAAAGCUACCCUGGGGAUAACAGGCUUAUCACUCCCAAGAGUUCACAUCGACGGAGUGGUUUGGCACCUCGAUGUCGGCUCAUCGCAUCCUGGGGCUGUAGUAGGUCCCAAGGGUUGGGCUGUUCGCCCAUUAAAGCGGUACGCGAGCUGGGUUCAGAACGUCGUGAGACAGUUCGGUCCCUAUCCGGCGUGGGCGUAGGAUAUUUGAGAGGAGCUGUCCUUAGUACGAGAGGACCGGGAUGGACUGACCUCUGGUGUACCGGUUGAACCGCCAGGUUCACGGCCGGGUAGCCAAGUCGGGAAGGGAUAAACGCUGAAGGCAUCUAAGCGUGAAGCCCCCCUCAAGAUGAGAUAUCCCAUUCUUAAAGAAGUAAGACCCCUUGAAGACGACGAGGUAGAUAGGGCAGGGGUGGAAGUGCCGUAAGGCAUGGAGCUGACUGUUACUAAUCGGUCGAGGGCUUGACCU